rnacentral:rRNA from 1 species
UAACGAAUAUUCCGCAAUGCGCGAAAGCGUGACGGAGCAAUGCCGCGUGCAGGAUGAAGCCCUUCGGGGUGUAAACUGCUGUCAGGGUACAGGAAGAAAGUGACCAUACCCAAAGGAAGGGCCGGCUAACUUCGUGCCAGCAGCCGCGGUAAUACGAAGGGCCCGAGCGUUAAUCGGAAUCACUGGGCUUAAAGCGUACGCAGGCGGAUUCGCGGGCAUCUUGUGAAAUCCCCCGGCUCAACCGGGGAACUGCAGGGUGAACCUCGAGUCUCGAGGCAAGUAGGGGCUGUCGGAACGCUAGGUGGAGUGGUGAAAUGCGUUGAUAUCUAGCGGAACGCCGAAGGAGAAAUCAGGCAGCUGGGCUUGUUCUGACGCUGAGGUACGAAAGCGUGGGGAGCGAACGGGAUUAGAUACCCCCGUAGUCC